AGGACGAACGCUGGCGGCGUGCUUAACACAUGCAAGUCGAGCGGUAAGGCUCCUUCGGGAGCACACGAGCGGCGAACGGGUGAGUAACACGUGAGCAAUCUGCCCUUCACACUGGGAUAACCCCGGGAAACCGGGGCUAAUACCGGAUGCGACCACCGACGGCAUCGUCUGGUGGUGGAAAGUUCCGGCGGUGGGGGAUGAGCUCGCGGCCUAUCAGCUUGUUGGUGGGGUAAUGGCCUACCAAGGCUUCGACGGGUAGCCGGCCUGAGAGGGUGACCGGCCACGACUGGGACUGAGACACGGCCCAGACUCCUACGGGAGGCAGCAGUGGGGAAUAUUGGACAAUGGGCGAAAGCCUGAUCCAGCAACGCCGCGUGAGGGAUGACGGCCUUCGGGUUGUAAACCGUCUUUCAGCAGGGACGAAGCGCAAGUGACGGUACCUGCAGAAGAAGCACCGGCCAACUACGUGCCAGCAGCCGC
rnacentral:rRNA from 1 species